CCUACGGGGGGCUGCAGUGGGGAAUAUUGCGCAAUGGGCGAAAGCCUGACGCAGCAACGCCGUGUGAGGGAUGAAGGCUUUCGGGUCGUAAACCUCUGUCAGAAGGGAAGAACGGGCAUUGGUCUAAUAGGCCUUUGUUUUGACGGUACCUUCAGAGGAAGCACCGGCUAACUCCGUGCCAGCAGCCGCGGUAAUACGGAGGGUGCAAGCGGUCGUCGGAAUUACUGGGCGUAAAGUGCAAGUCGGCGGUGAAAUCCCACGGCUCAACCGUGGAACUGCCCUUGAAACUGCGAAGCUUGAAUCCUGGAGAGGGUGGCGGAAUUCCUGGUGUAGGAGUGAAAUCCGUAGAUAUCAGGAGGAACACCGGUGGCGAAGGCGGCCACCUGGACAGGUAUUGACGCUGAGGUGCGAAAGUGUGGGGAGCAAACAGGAUUAGAUACCCCAGUAGUC
rnacentral:rRNA from 1 species